UGAGGGCACUGCUUCCUGGGGGUUGGGGACCUGGGGCUGCCAGAGGUGGAAGAGGUGGUCUUCUCUCUCGGGAGUCCCCCUGGCCGCUCCCUUUCUGCAGGUGGGGAGAUCCUGGGGACCUCUCUACCCUGUCCUCUCUUUUUCUUUUCCCCUCUGCAAGGUCGUCCCCUUGAAAGGCCUGUGGGAGGAUGUGGCACCCACCCUGCCUGACGGUCACUUUGAUGGGAUCCUGUACGACACGUACCCACUCUCGGAGGAGACCUGGCACACACACCAGUUCAACUUCAUCAAGAACCACGCCUUUCGCCUGCUGAAGCCGGGGGGCGUCCUCACCUACUGCAACCUCACCUCCUGGGGGGAGCUGAUGAAGUCCAAGUACUCAGACAUCACCAUCAUGUUUGAGGAGACGCAGGUGCCCGCGCUGCUGGAGGCCGGCUUCCGGAGGGAGAACAUCCGUACGGAGGUGAUGGCGCUGGUCCCACCGGCCGACUGCCGCUACUACGCCUUCCCACAGAUGAUC
rnacentral:sRNA from 1 species